GGACUUCAGAAACUUAGCCCAUUGGUUCAUGUUCAGUGAAACCAUAAUCCUCUUGGCUUAAAACACUAAUUAAACUUCUAAGAAGUACUGUAAACCCCACCACUCUUUAUUAGAUGUAUUAUAUCACUAAUAUAAAUAGACAAUAAUUUGGGAAAUUGUAAUGUUACGCCUGUGCAAUUUUUGUAAGUGGCAUAUCAUGGCAGAUCAAAAUUCAGAUACUUGGCUUUUCUUGGGCAAGCCACUAAGUUUGUGGCGGAAUAUUUUCUGGUGUUCUUGGACUGCAAUUGUGCACUAUUAAAGUAGUGGCCUGCUACAUAACUGCAUUUAGCCAGCAUUUCUGCAGUGCGUAACUGUGAGGAACGUAGUACCGCAAAUGGCAAUGGACAUUAGGACCCGGAUGUAGUAUUCCUGCUUGCUCCGAGAUUCUCAUUGCCGACUGCAUACAGGUAGGUAACAAGCAAUAUAAUCUAACUUGGUGACUUGCUAUGUACUUUUAUUCCGUGGGCAUUCUGACAUCAUACUUCUGACAAUGAAAUUACAGUGCAGCACCUAACACGUGUAUGAUAAAGCUAGCUUAUAUCAAAACUGUGUGGGUUUGGGUUAGAGCUGUAAUUUGUCAGGCAGAAUUCAGUGCUGUUGCAGUUCUCAGAUAAAAAGUGCAAACUUGAGUAUUUGGUAUGUAUCUGAUUCAGUUGUGUGGUUUUUGGUUGCAUCGUAACUGAACAUAACAUGAAACACAUCAGUGGUGUGGGGGAGAGGGGACCAUACCAUAUUUGGAAAGUAGAGUGCUUUUAGCAUCUUGACACAGACUGUAUACAGCACGUGACAAUUAGUUUCUGUUAUAGCAAACUGACCUUCCCAGAGGUCAGCAAUAUCAAUUUCAGAGUGCAAUCUUGGUUAUUACUCCACAGGGUUGAGUGAAUUAAAACUAAAAGUACAGUAGGAUAACUGCAAAUGUUCAGGGUAGCUUUUUGAAUUUGGUUCCCUUAGCUUUUUAGGGAUGAGAUGUUGCAAUCCAAACUGUUCAAUUACCAAAAUAGUAAGGCUUCAAAAGCACCCUCUCUGUUGUUCAGGAUUUAAGCUUUGCAUCAACAGUUGUUCCAGACCUCAAUUCAACUGAACAUUGGUCUAUGAACUGAUUUUUAGCUAGCAUGCAUGAGAAAUAGCUUUCAUGUAUAAUGUUUUCUGCUCUGUAACUGGAAAGUUUGGUUUAC
rnacentral:lncRNA from 1 species